UACGUAGGGUGCAAGCGUUAUCCGGAAUUAUUGGGCGUAAAAGAGCUCGUAGGCGGUUUGUCGCGUCUGCCGUGAAAGUCCGGGGGCUCAACUCCGGAUCUGCGGUGGGUACGGGCAGACUAGAGUGCAGUAGGGGGAGACUGGAAUUCCUAGUGUAGCGGUGAAAUGCGCAGAUAUUAGGAGGAACACCGGUGGCGAAGGCGCCGCUCUGGGCCGAUACUGACGCUGAGGAGCGAAAGCGUGGGUAGCAAACAGG
rnacentral:rRNA from 1 species